CACAGGUCAUUUGGUGCCCAGCUUUGCUCAGUAGGAAGCAAAUCCCACUUUGCCUCCAUUAGUUUCAGGAUGUAAAUGAAGAAAAAUGAAGUCAGCUUUCAGGUUCCUGGGGAUAGAUGACAUUCAUUCACUCUGGCAUUCAGCUAUUUUUGUUGUUUACAUUUGAUGCCUCUUACAAAUACUCUGUUCUGAAUAAGAAGAAAUAUUUUUCUGAAGGUAUUCUUAAUUUUUCACUUCAAAGUCAAUCUUUAAAAACCUCCCUGCCAUUAUCAAGCCUGCAAUGGUUUCAUCCUAAUCCCUCUUACUCUCUCCAUUCUUAUCCUUUGCUGAGGGGAAAUGAUAAAAUUUUUUCUGACACAGAACUCGGAUCCAGUGCUGAAAGAUAAGCUGUUUCAAAAUAAAAUCAUGGAUUUCAAUUUUAAGCAUUGGUUAAUAUUGCCAUUUUUAUAGAUCCUUUCCUACUGCAGAUUGAAUGAAGCACAUUAGCUAAAAGGCCUUCUCCUGAAAUAAGAGCUCAUACUUUUCUAACCCUUCUUCUUCAUUCUAAGUUUCCACUUCUAAGCAUGGUCUUUCUACAGUAAUGAACAGCCAGAGAUCAAACCCAGCUUUGUAAUUAAAAAUUCAAUCAAAAGUAGGUCUGGGAAACUUCCAGUGGGUGAGAAAGCUGUAGGUGAAUUUAAGUUUAAUUGGUAGCUGGGUUUCUUCUAAGACUAUUUUAAGGUGCUUAAAGCUUCCCUGUCUUAAAAACCAGCACUUAGAUUUUGUCAGACACACAAAAAGAGAUCGAAAAAGGAUGCACAAGUGGCCUUGAGCACCUUUCUUUGGAAAUUCCAUUCUUUUAGUGCAGUUUCAAUUGGAGUAAAGGCUGGGAGUAUUUCCAGGUAACAUCCAAAAAGGUCUGCCCAAGGGUUCAGAAGAAAUUGUCUUUUCUACUGGAAUAAACUGGCCCAGCAUAGGGUUUUUUGGGGGGUUUUGUGAUGGGUAUGACCUGGAAUAGUUUCACAAGAGUCAAUAGCAUCACCAGCUGGGGAGUACUGAAGCAAAAACCAUAGGAAAAUGUAGGUUCAUAGCACAGAUUUAGUUAAAUGUGCGUGUUCUGAUGGAACCAUAAGGUGGAAGGUCUGCUCUGUUUAUGCUCUGGUUGUUUUACUUAAUUUUGGGGAUUAAAGCAAAGCAUCCCUGACUGUGUGUACACACACCAGCCAUCAGCUGGGCCUACAGGGUAGGAUACAUGGAUUAAUAGGAAAUAUUGAGUUUGCUGUAUCCUUAAUAUCAUCAGGGAAUUGUUAACCCAAGGAGGGAGUGAUGGUUCUGGGUGAUGGCUCCGCUUUCCCCCACCCUGUCUCUCCACUAAUAUGGAAUUAGAGCAAAGAGCCAGAGACAAACCCGGUGUCUCUGGGCUGCUUCUUCCUUGUUCAACAGCCAAAAACCCUCGGCAGCAGCGGGAGUUCUCCCUGGCCCUCCUUGUUUUGCAGCAGGACCGUGCCAAACCACAGCCUGCCAUUAAAAAUGGGUCACUGCCACAGGAUCCUGGACUCAUGGAGCGUCCUGAGCUGGAAGUGACACACAAGGACCGGGGUUUCCCAGUGCACACCCGACCCCUCAGGCUCCCAGCUGGGUGUUAGAUGAGAGAAGGAAGGAGGGACAAGCCUUCGAGGCAGGGCAAAGUUUCUUUUUCUUCACAAAGAACGCAGCUGUGAUAACUCCCCACAGGGAAGCACCAUCACAUCCCACCCAGCCUGAGGGGUCUUCUCUGCUAAUGGGCCACCAUGGACUCAGUGGCACCAGCACAAUGGGCAGCUGCAACCACUGAGACCACCAAGGACUCCCAAAAAUGUCCAGUGAUUGACAGGAUUCCAUCAUUCCAUUGUAAACUCCCCACUCCAGCCCAAGGGCAGGUACUGAACAUUCCUGCCUGAGUUUGAGUGCAUAUAAUCUGGAAGUUUGGGGUCUGGGGACACCACCACCAUCACUGGAUGGGUCCUGAGGAGGAGCAGAACUUCCACAGGAUCAUUAAUUUCAGCAGGACUGCAGUCACCAUUUGAUAGGACUGUGGUCACCACCCCCAUUAAAAGGUUUGUGGAUUUGUGUUUGAGCCACUUUUUCUGUAUUGCUGCAUUUAUUAUAAUCUUUCUAUUGAAUUUUAACUCUGACCUGAAAUCUCUCUCAAGGUAUUUGGGGUUCAUUUCUCCCCUACAAUUUACUUUCAAAGCAGCACGAAGGUCUUUGCCAGCAUUUUGGGGUUUAGCAAUGCUGAGGCAGGCAGAAAGUAACCCUCAGACCCCAGAAAAAUCAUAUAUUCCCUUAGAAACUAUGGGACACCUUAGGUCAGGUGUCUGACCAGGAACCUGGACAGAUGUGAUGGACAGAGCAGAUGCAUGAAGGACUCUGGGGUUGCUGGGGUAGGACCUGUGGCUGCAGCUCUUCCCUUAGAGAUUUAUAUUCAGGAGAGGUAAAUCAGUGAGGGUGGAAGGUCAGGACUUUCAGCCUCUGGUGUGGAAAAUGAAGUCCCAGACUCAUUGAAGGGCUUAUUUACCAUGUGGAGGUGUUCACACAGGGGACAUGGGUGGAACUGUACAUCAAGAGCCCCCUUGUCCCACAUUCCAGUGCUGUCCUCACCCAACAUAAUUUGUGCUGUGUGUUCCCAUCUUUGAUCCAAAUUUUCACAGCUGAUCAGAGAAACCUUUUCUCAAGCAAAUUUUGUCAGAAUCAAUACAUUCCUGACAUUUAGAUGAAUCCUAAAUGUCUGAUUUUUACAAAGUGUCAUCCAGAACCCCACGCCCAGGCCCAGCCUGAUGUUAAUGAGAUCUGAAUUGUUGCUUUCAAAGCGUGAAAUUGGUGGUGAUAUCUCAAGACUGAAAACGAUACACAGGCAGCAAGCCCUGUUCAGUUUGAGAGGGGGCUCAUGUUUCACAGCAUUUACAGGUCUUAUUUGUUGUGUUUUGUACAUAAAACCUCUCCACCCUUUAAUGACACCAAGAGGGGCUUGUCCACUCGGGUGACUUUUGGGUUUAGGGGUUGGAACCAUCAGUUCAUCUCCGUUUCCGCCACGCUCCGUGUUUUCUAGUAACCUUUGGGAAUUGUUCACUUCAAUUUUAUUCACCAGAGACAAAAUGCUAAUCUGCUAGCACUUCACAUGGUGAGGGAGAGAAGGAGGGGAAGGAAGGAAGACCUGUGUGAUCUAUUCAUUCAUUAUUCCACGGCACAUGGGAAGUCAUCUCUUUACGUGAUUGACCUGCCUGGGUUUGAUUACAACACACAGCUAACCUUUUCCAAAUCUGCUUGUGUCAUACAAGAGAAGGGUUGAAGGCUGUUGCCAUGGCAUUGAGGUAUCUCUUGAGAAAGAGGAAGGGGGGAAAGAAAAGAAAAGAGAGAGAGAGGAAAUGAUGCUUCUUUACUUCCUAGCCAAGUAUAAACAAGAAACACACGCACAUGUUUUUGUUUUGGAAGAGCUUUCAGCUUCUUAUCGAGUCUCAUCUCUCCCUGUGUUUCCUUUGGAAGGGAAGGAGGAAUUGUCUGCUUUGCAGAUCAGUGGGAGGGGGGUGACAAUUGGAGGGAGGGAAAAAAAAAAGAAGAAAUCAGUCUUGCCACCAUUCAUGAUUUAUUCAUGAGACACGUGAGUUUUGCAUUUAAAUGUGACAUUCUCAUGAUCUCAAUAUUGUAUAUGCAAAUCUAAAGAUUUCUGCAUCUCUCCACAUGCCCAGCUUAAGUCUCGCCUCAGAUCCACAGCUCUGCAAAUGUAAAACCAGAGAGGUUCAUGCAGCUUCUGCUUCUCUCCCUGUUUGUUCUGUGCCUCAAAGACUGGAUCCAACACCAAACCGCUCUUAAUAGCAGAGCUAUAAUUUAGAUGUCAUUAUUUUUUUGAAUUUUUUUUUCUGGUAGUGAAUGCUCGCAGUGAGGAAAUUACCUGUAGGUAAUGGUUUCACUUUCUGAGGUCUUGCCUUGCCUGAGCUUUCCAAGCCCUUUCCUCCUAAAGCUGAUCACUUGGGAUUAGCACUGAGCAGUGCUGAGCCACCCUGGACAAAGAAUUUACACCUUGAGCAGUGCCUGCUUCAAUGCUCCAACAAAAAUGUGUCACUUGCCCUCAAUAAAUAAGGGGAAUGACCUUGUUUGCAGGUUUUUGAUUAAGAUAUGAUUGACAGAAUAAAACAAAAGAUGAAGUCAAGGCCAUGAUGAGGCUUCAAGCACUCUGGUCUAGUGGAAGGUGUGUGUGGCUGGGGGUUGGAUUGAGAUGAGCUUCGAGGUCCCUUCCAAACCAAAUCAGUGGUUCUGUGAAAUGUGCUGAUGGAGAGAGGACAGGUUCAGUUUGGAACAGAAUCUGAGCCUUGGUGACAUCUCUGUCCCCAGCCAAGGCUCUGACUCCUGGGCCACUCAACAGCAUGUGAGCUGCAAAGACAAAGCCACACAAACCCUGCUCCCAGCCAGCCCAGGAUGUCCCAACUCCUGCCCAGGAGAGACCUUUGAGCCAGUGUUUGAGGAGUGAUUUGUGUAGGGAAAACCUCUUCUGGGGGCUUGGCCUGAUCCUUGUGGCUGCAAUGCUGCUUCAUGCUCUUCUUACACGGUGAACCAACCAGAGCAGAAGUAUUUGUGUAAGUUUUUGGAUCAGCUCUGAUGCAAAUAUUUCUCAGUUAUUAAUGAACAACCACAGCAUUCAUUGAUAAGAAUUAAAUUUGUGGUUUUUAUAGCAUUUUCCCACAUUCAUCGCUCAGCACCUGUUGUCAUAUUGAUGCCAGAGCUUGCUGAAGCUUGUGUUCACUUUGAGGUCAGGGCCCAUAUCAGCAAAAUUCUUCCUAUUGGUUUCAUUAUUUCAAAGCCAUAAAUGUUUACUAGCUAUCCAUACAGCCUAAUAUCCCAUCUCCAACAAUGACUGCUUCAGGGCACUGGAAAAGAGACAGAGCUUGUAUUGAAUGACAUUUCACAAGAGUAUUAACUUAGAUUUAGGAAAAUCUAGAUAUAGAGACUUCCUGAUGUCAUGUGUUCAGGUCCAACUAAUUGCUUUCAAAAACUUGUCCCUUUCAAACCCACCUGCACGUUUGCUCCCCCAGCAUGGCAACGAGUGUCACAAUUUAAUUUCCUACAGGGUGGACAACCACUUAAGUUUGGAUAAUUUAAUGCUGUUGAUGUCUACUGUUCUUCCCAUUACAAGAGUUAAUAAAAGAGUUGUUCCUGA